CCAAUAGCGUAUAUUAAAGUUGUUGCAGUUAAAAAGCUCGUAGUUGAAUUUCGGGGUCAGUAGGUUGGUCGUGCCACCGGUACGUACUGGUCUCACUGAUUCCUCCUUCCUGAUGAGCUGUAAUGCCAUUAAUUUGGUGUUGCGGGGAAUCUGGACUGUUACUUUGAAAAAAUUAGAGUGUUUAAAGCAGGCUAACGCUUGAAUACAUUAGCAUGGAAUAAUGAAAUAGGACGUUCGAUCCUAUUUUGUUGGUUUCUAGGAUUGACGUAAUGAUUAAUAGGGAUAGUUGGGGGCAUUAGUAUUCAAUUGUCAGAGGUGAAAUUCUUGGAUUUAUUGAAGACUAACUACUGCGAAAGCAUUUGCCAAGGAUGUUUUCAUUAAUCAAGAACGAAAGUUAGGGGAUCGAAGACGAUCAGAUACCGUCGUAGUCUUAACCAUAAACUAUGCCGACUAGGGAUCGGAUGAUGUUAAUUUUUUAAUGACUCAUUCGGCGCCUUACG
rnacentral:rRNA from 1 species